rnacentral:rRNA from 1 species
AGGACGAACGCUGGCGGCGUGCCUAACACAUGCAAGUGGAGCGACGAACCAGGCUUCGGCCUGGGGCAAAGCCGCGAACGGGUGAGUAACACGUGGGUUACCUGCCUCGAUGACCGGGACAACCCGAGGAAACUCGGGCUAAUACCGGAUGUGCCCGCAAGGGGAAAGGAAGCUUCGGCCUCCGCAUCGAGAUGGGCCCGCGGCCCAUUAGCUUGUUGGUGAGGUAACGGCUCACCAAGGCUUCGAUGGGUAGCUGGUCUGAGAGGACGAUCAGCCACACUGGGACUGAGACACGGCCCAGACUCCUACGGGAGGCAGCAGUGGGGAAUCUUGCGCAAUGGGCGAAAGCCUGACGCAGCAACGCCGCGUGAGGGGCGAAGGCCUUCGGGUUGUAAACCUCUUUCAGCAGGGACGAUUGUGACGGUACCUGCAGAAGAACGCCCGGCCAACUACGCGCCAGCAGCCGC